CAAAUAAUCGCGCUCAUAUCUAUCUCGCUCUCAAUUACUACAACGCCAAAGAACGACUGUUUCUUUGUCGUUAUCAUAGUCGUUUCAAAAUGGGGAACACCAAUUUAUUUUGGGUAAAUGUCGAUAACGCCAAAAGGAAUGCCACAUUUCCGUUUUUAUUUCGUUUUAAAACGAAAACGACAACGACAACGGAGUAAUGCCGAUAAAUUACAUAGAAAUCUACCUAAUAUAUGGAUAUAGCUGGUGAACGUGUGUAUCUGAACUCUCUCAUACUCAGGAAUUUGUAACAAUUUACAAAGCAAAAAAGAUUGAAUUAUAAAUUACUGUAGUUGGUCACAUGGCACAAACGCCGCAGCAAGUAUGAAAAGCGAGUAUGUUAUUAGUUUUAUUAAUUUUUGUUUUUGAUAAUUCUACGCUACAAGUUGUACUACAUUGAAUAAGUGCUUACCUUACUGUUAUUUGUCCAGCCAUGUGUGUAUGGGCCACAUUUGUGUUUGAUUAUGCCAUCGCCAACAUCAAUUGACUUCAUUCUGCUGACGUUAUCAAUUUUGUGGUCGCCACUCACUGUUAACUUCACUUUAUUGCUACACAUGCACACAAACACACACACAAAUGUCAUAUACUUGCACACUCUUAUUUAUGACUUAGUUCAUUUUCAUUAACCCAAGAAAGUAGAACUUGUGUAAGUUUGUCCAAACAUUCCAAUAAAAUCCCCCGCCACCUUCUCUGCUUCUACCUCAUAGACCAACAGCUACGAGCGUCGUUUUUUAACUCGUUCCGUUCGACUGCUUUCGGUUUGCCUUUUAGUUAGUUGCAGUCAUUGAUCUUUUCAACGAAUCGUCUGUGUGUUCGACGUUUUUCGUCUGUAAUGUUGUUGUUAUUUUCAUUCUUUCUCAUAAUCUGGUUUUGGUAUGUAAGUAGCACAAAUAUUUGUGUGCUAGCACGAGAGUGUGUGUAUGUGUGCGCAGCAGUAAACAAGUCCGUUUGUUGACUCUUAUUGGCUUGCCAUUUCGUCUCCACUACUUAUACCAACAUACCGAUCUACCUGUCCCCCUUCUCCGCCCAUUUUAGAGUUAUUCGCCUUGACUCGCUGCUUAGGGACUCGACUUGACUUUCAAUUCAAUGCGGUGGCAUUCCAUACUGGUGAUUGACUUUUGCUGUUUCUGUUUCCAUAUCUCUUUCGGUCAGUGCGCGCAUUGCUGCAUUGUAAACUGUUAUUCCGGCGUGCAGACAUAUCGAUUACUUUGAUUUCUUUGAAAUCAAUACCCUUAACGGGUGUAACUACUAACAUAUAUACAAGUACAUACAUCACACACUGCACUUACAUAUUAAAUCGAUCGGAUUGCGGGCUGCUUGCCUCAAGCAGUUUUAUCAUUUUAAAUACAAUUAUUUGUGACAAAUUUACACUAGCUUUUAGCAAAUUCAAGCGAAGAGUUGGCGAAUACAUACUAAAACCCAGUUAAAAAAAGAAAAUUGUAAUCUUUAUUAUUUAGAUAGAAAUAGAUAUGAAAAAUGAUUUCAGAAUCUCGUGAAGUGUGUUAAUAAAAUUUAAAGACUUAGGAUUUACUAAAUUAUAUAGCAAUCUAAAAUGUUUAUGCCAGUUAAUUCUAUAUCCAAUAAUCUAAUAAGUUUGAUCGAAAAUUAAGCUGGGGGCUUACAUUACAAAUGAGUAAUGAUCAACACACCAUCAACUUUGGGAAAACCCAAUCAUCAAUUAAAGCUUUCAAAUGAAUUCAAAUUCAUUGGGAACAUACAUAAAUCCAGCAAUUAAUGAAUUUAAUAUGACGUAUGUAUCGCCGAGUGCUACAACCAGAACUUGGCUUGACUCAAGCUUUGCGAAAUAAAUCUGAAACAAUAAUGAUGAAAGAAGAAUUCUGUGCGUCAACGUUUUCAGUGCUUUCGGUAAAUACAAUCGAAAGUCUAGAGGUCCUAAACAAAUCUUACAAACCGUUAAUUUGAAAAGCUUUUCCAAAUGUUAAGCACAGAAACUUUCAACUUUCUUGUUUUCAACUUUAACAAUUGUACGUACCCCACUGCACUUACUCUAAUGUUACGUACUUUAAUUCAUUUUUCAUUCCGUACAUUCACAGUCUUGCGAAGUUGGCAUUUAUGCAUGCGGCAGUAAUGAGAAGCACAAGGCUGCAUAAUAAAAAUUCCAAUUCAUUUGGCUUCAUCAUCAGCACCAUUAUUCAGCAGUACUAGUGAGUGAACAACAACAACAACAAAAAGCAAAUUCCAUUACUUACAGCAUCAUAUUGAUUGUUUUACACAGGCUGACUCUUGCUUGAUUGCGCUUAGGUCUGCGCACUUCUGCCAGCAACAUAGCAACUCAUGCAUAGCUGGCUAGAGAACUGGCUAGAGAUGGUUCGGCGGUGACUCACGAGUCAGGAAUGCUCAAUCAGUUUCAUUCUGCACACGAUCACACACACAUUCACACACACCCGCAGACGAGUAUUCAAACGUGAACAACACACAAGCACACCCUAGUAACUGGAAAGCGGAGCUGCAAACUAACCACCAGCAGAACUGGCUAGGCAACUACAAGUCAGCAAGUCAGCAAGAUCAGUCUCUUUGCAUGCCUGCCAGCCUUACUGUCUGUCCAUCGUACUGUCAUGCAUCGCGCUGCUGCUGCAAACAUAUAUAUGUGUGAGUGCGCGUGCAAGUGAGUCCGUUUAUAUGUUGUCGUCAGCCCGCCUGCGAACUGUUUCAGACUUCGUUAGUUUUAUAUAGAAUGGCAUGCUUCGUGAUGUUGGUAUUGUUGUUUUACAGUCGUUGUGCUCGCAAGAAUGCAACUAGCAACCAGCAACCAGUUCAAGUCGCGGUAGCAACAAAGUAAGCAAAAACAUCAACAAUUACGCCUAGCAGUGGUCAAUGAAUGCCGGAGCGUCUACAUUAACCACACACGAGCGCGCUCAUAACUGUGCAAUAAAAAGCGCAAGAUCAACGAUGACGAGCAACAACAUACAACUCACGGCAUCAGAAACUGCGUGGCGUUGAGUAGAAGUAGCAAGAUGAAUGAGAACUGUUGAGGCAGCAAUGCAGCGAGACAACAACAACUGCAUACAAGAGCCGAGUAGCCGCAGCAUCCGUGAGUUGUAAGCAGCAGCGACGGAACAACAUUCCAGUGUUUUAUUGCCAACAGAGUGACUACAACGACAACAACGACAACAACGAUGUGCAACGUAUGGAGUCGGACGCGCUCUUAAUAGACACAAAUGUGUGUGGACGAUUUAUAUAUUUAUAUAUAGGUGUGUAUUAGGGUGCGUCUGAAAUUAUAACAAUUGUACAAUUGUUGUUCCUAUAGUUGUUUAAUUGAUGUAUAAUUUUAAUGUUUAAUAUCUUUUAAAAGUGUUGGCCGCAAAAUACAUUUAAUCCAGUAUUAUGCAAAUAAAUAUGUUUUUUCUGUUCUUAUUAUUAUUAUUACUAUUAUUAUUAAAUUUAUUGCUGCCUAAGAUUUUAAUUUAAAAUUCUAAUUUUUAAAGUUUCCCUGCCAAUUUUAAUUUGUGCAUAAAUCUUAGAAUUUCCUUGCAUAUAGCUGUCCAAAUGCAAUUUGACAUUCCAGAGAAAUUUAUUUUGCGAUUUUAACUUCUCUACCGAAUUUCAAUUUUUUGGCACAAGAAAUUAGCAACCUUGGCUCCAAACCCUUUGCAAACUUUCUUUAUUGGCAGCCGCACAUUCUUCGAGCCGCUUUCACCGUUUCAGUCGAUUUCGAAUGCUGAAAUAGCAAUAAAGCUAAAAUUAAAUCUAAAAAUUUCUCCAACCACACAAACAUACCAGCAUAUGUAAGUAAGUAUGUGUGUAUGUGCACAAAGCGGUCAAGUAACAUUGUAGCGGGUUGGAGAGGCAGCAGACUAGAUAUAGGCAAGCGAAAUCGGAAUCCGAUGCUAUGUUACUACGUACGUCACGCCUAGAGUCUUAUUUAACUCAGUCUAGACUCUAGAGUCAAUCUCAAUGGCGAGAUAGAUACCUUAACCUUUCUAAAUCGUUUUCGUUUACUUAUCUUCCACUUAUGCAUCUGACUGCCGCGCAAGUAAGUAAGUAUUGUUGAUGUUGCUGUUGUUGCUGUUGCUGCUGUCGUACUUGCUGAUUUUCAAGCGUUUGUUUGUAUUUCUGUUCAAGUUGGUUGGUUUGUUUGUUUCAUUGUAAGUUUGUGGAAUGCUGUCCAGCAAGAUCGCAGAUUUAUUUUCACACAAACACACAGCCACACAUACAAAUACUUGUGCAAACAUAUUGCACCUACACAUGAACGACUUUAGUUGCACUUUCAGGAGAUCCUCAAUCUUAUUGAACUCUUACGUAACACUUAGGCUCACCGAAAAAUUGCUAAUAUAGUAGAAAAUUAGCAACCACUAAAUAUUGAUCUGAACCCAGCAACGAAAAUGAAAAAAAUACUUAAAAAUUAAGGGCCGUUUAAAUUCAGUUACUCAAAAUGUACUCCACAAUAUGUUCAACGGUACUUUUCAAUAUGGUAAGUUCACUCCUUCCACACAUCUGUUCACAUAUUGCAACAUUACCCAACACUUAUCCACGUCAUGUUACACCUGUAGUCCUCAUGCAUCCUGCAUCCUGCUCAGCUUGCUCACUUACAACUAACCACGCACAUAUUUACAUACUUAUAAGCAAUACAUACAUUUCCAAUUUGCACUUCCUCAAAUGCAGUAACAUUAACAUGUGUGAAGUUUUCACUAAAAAAUACAUGCUGGUUCAUUUCUAGGCACAUUUGAGUCAGUAUUUAGUACAUUUCAUUUAAGAAAUUCAAACGUCACUAUCAUUUAACACCACUUAACUAUUGCUGUUCUUGCGUUAUAAUUCCUUUGGAUCUAUAAGUAUGCGAGUGUAUAAUUUAAGACGUUGUUGUUACGACACAGUUCAUUCCGUAACUGUUAAAUGCUGUUGGUGUUAGCGUCGGCUGUGGCCAAUAUGUUCCACGUUGCAGCAACAACUGAAUUUUACUGAAUGAAAAUGUUUAUUUUCUUUCAUUCAAUCAUUCUUCGUCCGUGCUCUUUUCAAUAUCAUUCGCUCAAUAUACUUUUUCAUCGCGCAUUUGCCCAUGCCCAUGCGUUGUCUACAAACACAUUUUGUAUUUUGCGCUUGAACACUCGUGGUGUCUCAGUUCUCAACUCCUCAUAGCCAUAACAUACACAGGCACAUACUUGUAUACAAAUAAAACGAUGGUCUUCGACUUUAUACCUUCUUCCAAACGGACAGAAACUCUCCCUGGUUUUACUCUCAUCGCCUCUCUCUCGCUCUCACUCUGUGUCUCCCUCUCUUUACAGAAAUCUUGAAGGUAAACCUGACUUUUAUCGGUUUGUCUCAAUCGUCUAUCGUAAAAGAUACGCUAGAGAGGAGUAACAGCAAGCCUGACUUUUCACAGCGAGUCAAAUGCUUGAGAGGCGAUUUUCAAGUUCAGUUCAUGUUGCAGUUACAUUCGAUAUUCGGUUUUCAAGUUUUAAGGAGGCUAUCACGGUAACCACACUGACAUAUAAUUAUUUGGGAAUAUUUGGGAAAUAGUGCGAGUCCGAUUAAAAUGUGAUUACUCAUUGAAUUAUGUAGGGAAACAACUUCGAAUUUUUGUGUAUCUACGAGUAUCUCUGACAUAUUUGCUGAUAAUAAGCAACUGAUCAGUUACAUUGACUUAACUGGAGCCAACCACUCGAAAAUCCGAUAUAGCGAAACUGAAUAACUCAUAGCUUGAUGAUCGAAGUAAGGAAGAGGAGGCAGGAGGAGAACGUGAUAGCUAGCGGUCACUCGAAAGGGCUAUUGCAAAACACACCAUACAAACCAAGUACGGAAGUCGCCUGCUCAAUGUCUCGGUUGCCAUGAUGGUGGAUAGCCUUCGACAUUCGACGUUGUAACCGUUUUACUUGAGAAAUUCAUUUUAGAAGUUACAAAACCGCAUUCCACACCGAAUGCGCCUGACAGAUAUACUCGCACUCAUAUACACACACAUACGCUCGGGUUUACAUGAAGCGUUUGUGCAAUGUGCAUAUACAGACAAAACGUAUCAACGUUUGGCGACGGGCUUAUUGUGAACAUUUUCAAGUGAUGACGCUGUUGUCUACCUUCAUGCCUAUGUCCAUAUGUAUACCAAAUGUAAAUAUGUGUACACACGGACAGGUAUACGAUUGGUUUCUCUGAAACAGAGGAAUUUGUCAUUGAAUAUUAAAAAAUGUGGAUUUUUUGUUUUUAAAUCUUACAAAAUAAACCUAAAAUCAACUUUAUG